UUUCUUUCUUCUGUUGGAAAUGUUCUGGAAAAGUCCAAUAAAGACAACUGUAAGGCAGCUUCCCUGGGUAAAAACCAAACCAAAGUAAUACUACAUCACCAUGUGAAAUAACAAAUUAGGUGGAGAGACAUUAACUAGUGUCAUUCAUCAGCCUGAAGUGAUACGAUUUAUUACAGGAUAAUAAUGGCCAUAGUUGCAUAGGUAGUAAAGGUAAAAUUACAUCAUGACUUGCAUUAGCAGUAUGAGAUUAUAUCCUGAUUAAUGCACAAUUAACUUGUCAUGGGUACAACACGUGUUUGUAGGUGGCCAGAUGGGUUACACCACAUCCCAUGCUCACAUAUGUAGCAUUUAUCACUUUCUCCUUAUCUCCAGAAAUAAGAUGCCUGCAUCCACUACAAUCUUCAGGCCCCUCACUGCCUUGAUGCAGAGCUACCUAACAUCAGGGUACGAGUCAGAAACCCUUGGAGAUGACCCCUGAAAUCUUAGACAGCUGCAUGAAUCCUGCUCCUCUCUGCAGAUGAGACCUUGUUGGAAUCUGAGGGGAGAUAAUUAAGCUACAGGAGCAGCUGAGAAGGAUUUUUACUUUUAGUUGCAAGUAUCGAUGGAGGUGCUUCAGCUUCACCUGAACUCCUCUGUGAGUGCAGAACUGGGUCAUUUGCCCAUGUGCUGACAUGCAGUGCAUCCUGGGAGGUACCAUUGAGAGAUGAUGCUACAGAAAGACAGCCAAGCCUUCAUUUACACAAGUGAAAAUGAAAAGUGACAUCAGCAUCUAUUUGAGCUGUAGGUUCUGCUAUUCAAAUAAUUCAAAUAAGUUUUUACAACAGCAUUAAGUCUGUGUUUGAGUGCACCAUAAGUCUUAGACUAGCCUAGGAGAGAACAAAAUCUGGUGUUCUCCUUUUGACAUGUAAGGAAAAACUCACGUAUCAUUAAAAAUAAAAUCAUUCUCUCUCAUUCUUCAGGAGUGGUUUGUGUAUCUCCUGAAGUACUUCAGGAUGACAGAAGAGAGGGACUUUCAAUUGCACCAGCUGAAAUAACUGACUUGCUCUUCAGUUGGAAAAGUGAAUUUAAGUUUCAAUGAUCGCUACUUACAAUGUCCAUCGGCAAAGACAGGAGGAAAACAUAAUUUCCUUUGUUAGCAAUCUCCCUGUUAAAAGGAAAUGUCAAGUCUGAAAAUGUAAAUAGAGUAGACUUGGGGCAUGUUGAGAAUUCAGGCAAAAUACUUUGGGUUGAAGUAGUUAAUUGGCAAGUCUGAAACAUUUCAAUGUGAAACCAUUAAAUGUAAGGUAAAAAAAAAGUAAUUACAUUUGAGACAGGCAUCCACUUCAAACCCUGAA